UUUAUGCACCAUUAUCAUUAUACCAGUCAUUGUAAUAAGUAUUUGUUACAUACUUAUUAUCGUCAAAAUACGGAGAAGAGAGACAUUUGGAAUUAUCAAAGUAAAACACAACCGAACAGGAGUAGAUGUCAACAGAAGUAUUCAGAUAACAACUAUUUCAAAGGCAAAGAUCAAAACCAUAAAAUUACUGCUGGUAGUUGUUUUUGUAUAUAUAAUUUGUUGGGCACCAAUAACGAUUAAUUCGUUUUUGCUCAAUCUUAAAUAUAUUGAAAGCGGAACGUGGAGUAUAGUACUUUAUGUCCUUGCUCCAAUCAACAGCCUUGCUAAUCCAUUGGUAUUUUUGAUUUUUAAUCAAAAGAUGUUCCGAAGGAAGAGCAGAUGAUAUGUAAGAGGAGAUAACAGUAAGGAAUAUCUUAUGUAGUGACCAAUAUACAUGGAAUCAGCUUAAUGCAUACAUGAUAAAGACUUACUAGAAAAAGAAAAAAAUAUGUAUAUAUCAAGUAGCACUUUGGAGGAGUCAUUAUAGAAAAUUCAAUACAAGAACAUAUGGAAUAGCACGAUAUGAGCAUAUAUUAUAGAAGAAUGUAAACAAUAUUUAAUG